UCCAGACUCCUACGGGAGGCAGCAGUGGGGAAUAUUGCACAAUGGGGGAAACCCUGAUGCAGCGACGCCGCGUGAAGGAAGAAGUAUCUCGGUAUGUAAACUUCUCUCAGCAGGGAAGAAAACAGACGGUACCUGACUAAGAAGCCCCGGCUAACUACGUGCCAGCAGCCGCGGUAAUACGUAGGGGGCAAGCGUUAUCCGGAUUUACUGGGUGUAAAGGGAGCGUAGACGGCUGGUCAAGUCUGAAGUGAAAGCCCGGGGCUUAACCCCGGAACGGCUUUGGAAACUGAGCAGCUAGAGUGCUGGAGAGGUAAGCGGAAUUCCUAGUGUAGCGGUGAAAUGCGUAGAUAUUAGGAGGAACACCAGUGGCGAAGGCGGCUUACUGGACAGUAACUGACGUUGAGGCUCGAAAGCGUGGGGAGCAAACAGGAUUAGAUACCCUAGUA
rnacentral:rRNA from 1 species